CCUACGGGAGGCAGCAGUGGGGAAUUUUGGACAAUGGGGGCUACCCUGAUCCAGCCAUUCCGCGUGAGUGAAGAAGGCCUUCGGGUUGUAAAGCUCUUUCGCAAGGGAAGAAAACUUAUGAUCGAAUAAAUCAUGAGGUUGACGGUACCUUGAUAAGAAGCACCGGCUAACUACGUGCCAGCAGCCGCGGUAAUACGUAGGGUGCGAGCGUUAAUCGGAAUUACUGGGCGUAAAGCGUGCGCAGGCGGUUUUGUAAGUCGGAUGUGAAAUCCCCGGGCUCAACCUGGGAACUGCGUUCGAAACUGCAAGGCUAGAGUGUGUCAGAGGGGGGUAGAAUUCCACGUGUAGCAGUGAAAUGCGUAGAGAUGUGGAGGAAUACCAAUGGCGAAGGCAGCCCCCUGGGAUAACACUGACGCUCAUGCACGAAAGCGUGGGGAGCAAACAGGAUUAGAUACCCUGGUAGUCCACGCCCUAAACGAUGUCAACUAGUUGUUGGUAGAGUAAAAUCUAUGAGUAACGUAGCUAACGCGUGAAGUUGACCGCCUGGGGGAGGUACGGUCGCGAAGUAAGUUAAACUUAACAAAUAGUUAAGUUAGUACGGCGUUGAGACGUUGCCGACGGACGACGACGAGGGAGGAGG
rnacentral:rRNA from 1 species